rnacentral:rRNA from 1 species
AUUGAACGCUGGCGGCAGGCCUAACACAUGCCAGUCGAGCGGAUGAAGGGAGCUUGCUCCUGGAUUCAGCGGCGGACGGGUGAGUAAUGCCUAGGAAUCUGCCUGGUAGUGGGGGAUAACGUCCGGAAACGGGCGCUAAUACCGCAUACGUCCUGAGGGAGAAAGUGGGGGAUCUUCGGACCUCACGCUAUCAGAUGAGCCUAGGUCGGAUUAGCUAGUUGGUGGGGUAAAGGCCUACCAAGGCGACGAUCCGUAACUGGUCUGAGAGGAUGAUCAGUCACACUGGAACUGAGACACGGUCCAGACUCCUACGGGAGGCAGCAGUGGGGAAUAUUGGACAAUGGGCGAAAGCCUGAUCCAGCCACGCCGCGUGUGUGAAGAAGGUCUUCGGAUUGUAAAGCACUUUAAGUUGGGAGGAAGGGCAGUAAGUUAAUACCUUGCUGUUUUGACGUUACCAGCAGAAUAAGCACCGGCUAACUUCGUG